GGGUGAGUACACGUAGGUGANCUGCCCUANAGCUGGGGAUAGGAGAUGGAAACAUACGCUAAUACCCAAUAGACCUGUGAGGUCGCACUCAUAGGUUAAGCUCCGGCGCUUUAGGAGGGGCCUGCGGNCCAUCAGCUAGUNGGUAGGGUAACGGCCUACCAAGGCGAAGACGGGUAGGGGGUGUGAGAGCACGAUCCCCCACAAUGGGACUGAGACACGGCCCAUAGGUUCUACGGGAGGCAGCAGCAGGGAAUAUUGCACAAUGGACGCAAGUCUGAUGCAGCGACGCCGCGUGGAUGAUGAAGGCCCUCGGGUCGUAAAAUCCUUUUCAGGGGGACGAGGAAGGACGGUACCCCUGGAAUAAGCGUCGGCUAACUACGUGCCAGCAGCCGCGGUAAGACGUAAGACGCAAGCGUUAUCCGGAUUUACUGAGCGUGAAGCGUCUGUAGGCGGUUCGAUAAGUUGGGCGUGAAAGCUCCGGGCUUAACCCGGAGAGGUCGUUCA
rnacentral:rRNA from 1 species